GACGAACGCUGGCGGCGUGCUUAACACAUGCAAGUCGAACGGAAAGGCCCUGCUUUUGUGGGGUGCUCGAGUGGCGAACGGGUGAGUAACCCGUGAGUAACCUGCCCUUGACUUUGGGAUAACUUCAGGAAACUGGGGCUAAUACCGGAUAGGAGCUCCUGCUGCAUGGUGGGGGUUGGAAAGUUUCGGCGGUUGGGGAUGGACUCGCGGCUUAUCAGCUUGUUGGUGGGGUAGUGGCUUACCAAGGCUUUGACGGGUAGCCGGCCUGAGAGGGUGACCGGCAACAUUGGGACAGAGAUACGGCACAGAGUCGUACGGGAGGCAGCAGUAGGGAAUAUUGCACAAUGGGCGGAAGCCUGAUGCAGCAACGCCGCGUGCGGGAUGACAGACUUCGGGUUGUAAACCGCUUUCGCCUGUGACGAAGCGUGAGUGACGGUAAUGGGUAAAGAAGCACCGGCUAACUACGUG
rnacentral:rRNA from 1 species